UUGAACGCUGGCGGCAGGCCUAACACAUGCAAGUCGAACGGUAACAGGAAGAAGCUUGCUUCUUUGCUGACGAGUGGCGGACGGGUGAGUAAUGUCUGGGAAACUGCCUGAUGGAGGGGGAUAACUACUGGAAACGGUAGCUAAUACCGCAUAACGUCGCAAGACCAAAGAGGGGGACCUUCGGGCCUCUUGCCAUCGGAUGUGCCCAGAUGGGAUUAGCUAGUAGGUGGGGUAACGGCUCACCUAGGCGACGAUCCCUAGCUGGUCUGAGAGGAUGACCAGCCACACUGGAACUGAGACACGGUCCAGACUCCUACGGGAGGCAGCAGUGGGGAAUAUUGCACAAUGGGCGCAAGCCUGAUGCAGCCAUGCCGCGUGUAUGAAGAAGGCCUUCGGGUUGUAAAGUACUUUCAGCGGGGAGGAAGGGAGUAAAGUUAAUACCUUUGCUCAUUGACGUUACCCGCAGAAGAAGCACCGGCUAACUCCGUGCCAGCAGCCGCGGUAAUACGGAGGGUGCAAGCGUUAAUCGGAAUUACUGGGCGUAAAGCGCACGCAGGCGGUUUGUUAAGUCAGAUGUGAAAUCCCCGGGCUCAACCUGGGAACUGCAUCUGAUACUGGCAAGCUUGAGUCUCGUAGAGGGGGGUAGAAUUCCAGGUGUAGCGGUGAAAUGCGUAGAGAUCUGGAGGAAUACCGGUGGCGAAGGCGGCCCCCUGGACGAUGACUGACGCUCAGGUGCGAAAGCGUGGGGAGCAAACAGGAUUAGAUACCCUGGUAGUCCACGCCGUAAACGAUGUCGACUUGGAGGUUGUGCCCUUGAGGCGUGGCUUCCGGAGCUAACGCGUUAAGUCGACCGCCUGGGGAGUACGGCCGCAAGGUUAAAACUCAAAUGAAUUGACGGGGGCCCGCACAAGCGGUGGAGCAUGUGGUUUAAUUCGAUGCAACGCGAAGAACCUUACCUGGUCUUGACAUCCACGGAAGUUUUCAGAGAUGAGAAUGUGCCUUCGGGAACCGUGAGACAGGUGCUGCAUGGCUGUCGUCAGCUCGUGUUGUGAAAUGUUGGGUUAAGUCCCGCAACGAGCGCAACCCUUAUCCUUUGUUGCCAGCGGUCCGGCCGGGAACUCAAAGGAGACUGCCAGUGAUAAACUGGAGGAAGGUGAGGAUGACGUCAAGUCAUCAUGGCCCUUACGACCAGGGCUACACACGUGCUACAAUGGCGCAUACAAAGAGAAGCGACCUCGCGAGAGCAAGCGGACCUCAUAAAGUGCGUCGUAGUCCGGAUUGGAGUCUGCAACUCGACUCCAUGAAGUCGGAAUCGCUAGUAAUCGUGGAUCAGAAUGCCACGGUGAAUACGUUCCCGGGCCUUGUACACACCGCCCGUCACACCAUGGGAGUGGGUUGCAAAAGAAGUAGGUAGCUUAACCUUCGGGAGGGCGCUUACCACUUUGUGAUUCAUGACUGGGGUG
rnacentral:rRNA from 1 species